CUAUUUGGUUUGUCUCCUCCCAAGCACUCUCUCUGUGCCACUCCAUCCUUGGUUCCCAACCCUAACCCUAACGCGACAGAGCUGUGCAUCAGGACAUUGGAACCAG